rnacentral:other from 1 species
GCUUCCCUGCGGUGUUGGUGAUAGCGGCUGUAUUUUAGAACCAAUACUCUAAAAUAGGCAGCUGGCUCUGUCCUUGGACGGCAUGCCCUUUACGGGACGUCGAAAGAGGUUACCACCGGCGGCCACCUGUUCAUACAGGUUCAAAAUGUGCCGCACACGGCAUUCGCGGGGAAAAA